rnacentral:lncRNA from 10 species
CAGCGAGCAGACCUCUGGGGUCACAGACCAUUUAUAAAGGAGCGUGGUGCUCACUAAUGCGGCUUUGGAGCUACAGCAAAGCGUAGCAAAAGCCUUGGGAAAAGUUCAGAGUGAGAUUAGAUCGAGGCUUUCUUGUCUGGGCAAGGCGAGGAGGCUGCCGUCACCUGGCUGGCGGGGAGACCUUAACCCCAUGAACUUCAGAGUCUGGCCCCUUGGCCCAGUGCACCCUGGGAAAUCCCCUGACUGCUGCACUGGGGAGUGACUGUGGUGAGGGACGUGUCCUCCCCCAGGGCCUCUGCCCUCCAUUUGCCUCACAACCCAGGGCCCAGCACAGUCGGGAUCACCAAGGAUGGCCCAUGAAUAAAGGAUGUAGCCAAAGGGAUCCAGAAGAGGUAGGCUUCAGAAUUCCACCCACUCAUGGACAGCCAGGUCCCAGUGAGGGCCAAGAAAGACCAGCUCCCUACACCAUGAGCCUGGCUGAGGAGCCAGCCUG